GCCUUUUUAGUUUAUUUGUAAAAUUUUUAAUUUGUAAUUAAAGGAAAUUAAUGGCU
rnacentral:tRNA from 1 species